rnacentral:rRNA from 1 species
GUGUCAGCAGCCGCGGUAAUACGGAGGGUGCAAGCGUUAAUCGGAAUUACUGGGCGUAAAGCGCAUGCAGGUGGUUUGUUAAGUCAGAUGUGAGAGCCCGGGGCUCAACCUCGGAAUAGCAUUUGAAACUGGCAGACUAGAGUACUGUAGAGGGGGGUAGAAUUUCAGGUGUAGCGGAGAAAUGCGUAGAGAUCUGGAGGAAUACCGGUGGCGAAGGCGGCCCCCUGGACAAAGACUGACGCUCAGGUGCGAAAGCGUGGGGAGCAAACAGGAUUAGAAACCCCUGUAGUCC